rnacentral:rRNA from 1 species
UACGUAGGGCGCAAGCGUUGUCCGGAUUCACUGGGUGUAAAGGGUGCGUAGGCGGGAGAGUAAGUCCGCGGUGAAAUCUCACAGCUCAACUGUGAAACUGCCGUUGAUACUGCUUUUCUUGAGUUCGGGAGAGGUUGAUGGAAUUCCAGGUGUAGCGGUGAAAUGCGUAGAUAUCUGGAAGAACACCAGUGGCGAAGGCGGUCAACUGGCCCGUAACUGACGCUGAGGAGCGAAAAGCGUGGGUAGCAAACAGG